AGUGAACGCUGGCGGCGUGCCUAAUACAUGCAAGUCGAACGGAGUGACGCACGGUAGAGUAAUAUACAGCUAAACUGCCCCUUGCUGGGGGACAACAGUUAGAAAUGACUGCUUAUACUCCAUAGCAAGGGAUGAGACGAGAUCGUAUCAGCUAGACGGUGGGGUAACGGCCAACCGAGACUAUGACGUGUAACUUGUCUGAGAGGAGGAUCAGUCACAAUGGACCUGAGACACGGGCCAAACUCCUACGGGAGGAAGCAGUAGGGGAUAAUGCGAAAUGGGGGAAACCCUGACGAAGCAACGCCGCGUGGAGGAUGACACUUUUCGGAGAGUAAACUCCUUUUGUUAGGGAGGCGGUACCUAACGAAUAAGCACCGGCUAACUCCGUGCCAGCAGCCGCGGUAAUAC
rnacentral:rRNA from 1 species